rnacentral:rRNA from 1 species
UACAGAGGGGGCAAGCGUUGUUCGGAAUUACUGGGCGUAAAGGGCGCGUAGGCGGCCUUCUAAGUCGAACGUGAAAUCCCUCGGCUCAACCGAGGACGUGCAUCCGAAACUGCAGAGCUCGAGUAUGGAAGAGGGUCGCGGAAUUCCCGGUGUAGAGGUGAAAUUCGUAGAUAUCGGGAGGAACACCAGUGGCGAAGGCGGCGACCUGGGCCAAUACUGACGCUGAGGUGCGAAAGCGUGGGGAGCAAACAGG